UGCCUUUGUGUUGCCCUUUCAUCGAAUCCAUCGUGAACCGGGUGUCGACUAAGGCAGACAUUGAUUCUCGCAGCUGUGACAGAAAUUCAUCAUCACCGAUGCAUUUCCAACACAUUCAACUGUGAGCACAAAC
rnacentral:snoRNA from 1 species